rnacentral:rRNA from 1 species
AUUGAACGCUGGCGGCAUGCUUUACACAUGCAAGUCGAACGGUAACAGGCCUUCGGGUGCUGACUACUGGCGAACGGGGGAGUAAUGCAUCGGAACGUACCCAGAGGUGGGGGAUAACGCAGCGAAAGCUGUGCUAAUACCGCAUGUGAUCUCAGGAUGAAAACGGGGGACAGAGCAGCAAUUUUUGGCCUCGCGCGUUUGUAGCGGCCGAUGUCGGAUUAGCUAGUUGGUGGGGUAAAGGCCUACCAAGGCGACGAUCCGUAGCUGGUCUGAGGGGACGAUCAGCCACACUGGAACUGAGACACGGUCCAGACUCCUACGGGAGGCAGCAGUGGGGAAUAUUGGACAAUGGGCGCAAGCCUGAUCCAGCCAUGCCGCGUGUGUGAAGAAGGUCUUCGGGUUGUAAAGCCCUUUUGUUUGGAAGGAAAAGCAGUAAGUUAAUACCUUGCUGUUCUGACGGUACCAACAGAAUAAGCACCGGCUAACUUCGUG